UACAGGGGGGGGCAAGCGUUGUUCGGAAUUACUGGGCGUAAAGGGCCAGUAGGCGGCCAACUAAGUCACACGUGAAAUCCCCCAGGCUUAACCUGGGAACUGCGUGUGAUACUGGAUGGCUUGAAUUCGGGAGAGGGAUGCAGAAUUCCAGGUGUAGCGGUGAAAAUGCGUAGAUAUCUGGAGGAAUACCGGUGGCGAAGGCGGCAUCCUGGACCGACAUUGACGCUGAACGGCGAAAGCUAGGGGAGCAAACGGGG
rnacentral:rRNA from 1 species